rnacentral:lncRNA from 1 species
GCAAAGGAUGGCCAGGAGUGAAUUAUUAUUUCUAGCUUAUUAAUACCAAGAACUGCUCCUGAUAACACAAAGGGCCAGCGAAGAAGAGAGAGCUGGCAGAGGUACUUUCCUCAAUUAUUAGCUUUGAUGAUAAAAGUAUAAACAGGGUGCCGGGCUGGUGGCACAGAAGUUAAGUUCGCAUGUUCUGCUUCACCGGCCCGGGGUUCGCCAGUUCGCAUCCUGGGUGCAGACCCAUGUACCGCUCGUCAAGCCAUGCUAUGGCAAGUGUCCCACAUAUAAAGUAGAGGAAGGUGGGCGUGUAUGUUAGCUCAGGGCCAGUCUUCCUCAGUAAAAAAGAGGCGGAUUGGUGGUAGAUGUUAGCUCAGGGCUAAUCUUCCUCAAAAAAACCAAAAAGUAUAAACAGAACCACAAUUCUCUCAAUAUUCUUCCAAGCUCUGGAAACAGGCCAGAAUUAAGUCUAGGUAUAUAUGCAUCCCGCUUGAAGAAAAUCCUAAAUCCACAAUACAAACGUCUAAAACAAACCAUUACUUUUUUGAGAUACUACGUUGUUUGUAAAAAUUUGGAAGCACCCCAAAUGCCUAACAAUAAGAAACCAGUUAAAUAAAUAUAUGAUAUGAAAAAGUAUGUGGCUAUUUAAAUGACAUUGUAGAACAGCAUUUGUUGGCUUGGGAAAAUGCUUAUGAUCCAUUAAGUAAAAAGAGCCAGCUAUAUACACAUUGCACAAGACUCUUUAUACAUUUAACAAUAUAUAUUUGGAAAGAAAAAAGCCUGGAAGAAUGUAUUCCCACUCUUAAUGGUGAUUGGGGAGGGGGUGCAUUUUCUAAAGACUUUUCUUCUUUUUUUUAUUAAUUGCUAAGUGUCAGGUACCAAGUCUGGUAUAUUAAACCAUAUCAAAGUGCACUUCUCAACUAUGGGUCAUACGUGGACUCUUUGUUAACAGACAAUUUGCAAAUAGUUUAUGAUUUAUCUUUUUAAAAAGUUAGAGCAGAUUCAUAUUUAUCCCUACAAUGACUUUACUGCUCACCUUGCAUUCUACAUGCUCUCUUAAGCAGGAGAGAAGAGGGUAGGUAUAGGAUGUAGUUGGAGGUUGGGCAUAACCCUGGAUUCUUCCUGGGCAUGUGUCAUGCAUGGAGGUGUUAGAGACUCUGCCUUCUGCUUGGAUCCCCUCUCCUCGUUACCACUCUCAAUAUCACUUGGGUGAUUUCUUGGUCUUGGUCUAGAUAUCACUUCCCUAGAACUCUUCCUUAAUCCCUAUGUGUUUAUGUUGGGUGCUUUUGUGUGUCCCUACAAUGUCCUGUACACACACAUCAAAGCAUUCAUCACACUAGUAUUUUUUAUUUACUUAGUUGUAAUCCCUCCUAGAAUAUAAGCUUCAUGGAAGCAAAAACUCCUAUCUUUUCUGAUAUCACUGACCCUCAGCCCCUAACACACCUGAGUCAAAGCAGACACUCAAUAAAUAUUCUUCAAGUGGAUAAACA